AAGUGAAGAUUCAACUCUCUUCUCAAGACAAGGCAAAGGUACCUAUUCCAACCAACGUGACAAUGUGAGAAGCAAUGCAAGAACUUGCUUCAUUUGUAGAAAACCGGGUCAUUUUGCACGAAAUUGCUACAAGGCCAAGAAAAGAGAUAGAGAAAAUGCUAACAAUGCAUGUGAUGAAGUUGAUGGAGAUGAUUAUGCAU
rnacentral:lncRNA from 1 species